CAAAAUUGUUCUGAAAGGUAGACUAAGCGCUGGCAUCGAUGCAUAUCUUCCAAAAGGGAGGACUUUGAAGUGAUAUUCAGCAGUGAGGUUUUCUUGGAAUAGGGAAUUAUUAUUUGGUUCUGCCAUGUCUUCCUCAGGACCUUGUUCUCCACUGCUGUUAUUACCGUUUGUGCUUGAAUUAGAUCCGCAGUCUACAUCCAGGAACCUGUAUUGAAUGGUAAACAGAAAUAUCAGCCAUCACAUCUUCAUAUCAAAGGAGCAUCUAGUCUGAUCAACCAGCUAGGAGGCCCUGGUGCUACUGCUCUCAUCUGUCCUACUUAUAGCUGGCCCUGGCACUGCGAUAUGGAAUUUUCUGUGUGCCUCAAUGUGGGAAAAGUUGAAAAACACUGCUCUAAAACUUGAUUGCUACUCACGUGUAUGGCUUCUCUUCUCCUCUCAUCUCACAUAUUACAUUAAAAGCUUUAUCAAGAUCUGCAUUCAUGAGCUGAUACCAUUCACCAGCACGUACUUGAGCGAUACUGGAUUCUCAAUUUAUGCAGCAACAAAAAUGAAAUACAGAAACAGACUAAAUGUGGCCCCGGAUCUGAGAAUUUACGUGUCUGGUAUCAUGUGAAGCAUAAAAAGAAUUUGUAAAAGAACAAAAGAACUACUCUUGGCAUUAAAAAUUUAAUGUACCUGGCAUAUUAGUUUUUAAGCUUUUUUAUGUACAUUAAAUGUGAUUUUUAUUUCUAAAUAUGUGCAAUUAAAUAAUAUGUUGAUUUUAUAUCCUUGUUCAGUAUUUAUUUACUAUUAUCCUUAC